rnacentral:lncRNA from 1 species
GAAACACAACAAGCUUUGACAGAAUUCAGAGGACUGGAAGACUUUGUCUGAAAGCUCAAACUGAAUUUGAAAAAUGUUACUGUAGUCCUCCUCUGGCAUUGUGACCUGGAUGCCUGCUGGCCCUGCUCUGCAAGGCUGAGGCUGCAUUCCACCUUUGACAUUUUGCCAUGAUCUUUCCAGUUUGAAGGGAGUGCUGGAAGUGGGGAAUCCCUCAAAGUGAUCUGUCAUCAGAAUUCUCAUUUAAAUGAUGCCAGAAGCAUUACCUUACACUUGGAAAAGCAGAUAUUUUAAUUGUGUUAUGCCAUAUGGUCACUACAAGACUUUUCAGAAACAUUUUUCCAGUUGUUUUCAGGCUGUUUGUGACACCCAAGGGAUUGAAAAUGAAUUCUGGAACAUUAUCCAACACCAGGAAAAUUUGGAUACUGCAGAAGAAAGAUGGCUUUUUCCUUCUCUUUAUUUUAGAUCCCCCUGAUUUUUGCUCUGUCUGGCCAUCUCCAGCUGCAAGAACCUGGAAAGCUGGACCACAAAUUUCAGUGGCUGUCAUAAUCUGGUUAUCACCAUCUGUGUCACAGUUCACCCUUCUGCUCUGUGAUACAUCUGGAACAAAGCCAGCUUGUGCUGCUGUGGUGGCACCAAGUCAUGCUCCCUGGAUAUGGGCUGCAACAAACGGGUCACUUCAGCAGAAGCUGCCAAAGGACCCUCAGGGGAUAGAUACCACUGGGUACGUUUCUGAUCCUCAUGGCAUGUUUGAUGUUCAUUGA